GUAGGUGGCAAGCGUUGUCCGGAAUUAUUGGGCGUAAAGCGCGCGCAGGUGGUUCUUUAAGUCUGAUGUGAAAGCCCCCGGCUCAACCGGGGAGGGUCAUCGGAAACUGGGGAACUUGAGUGCAGGAGAGGAAAGUGGAAUUCCACGUGUAGCGGUGAAAUGCGUAGAUAUGUGGAGGAACACCAGUGGCGAAGGCGACUUUCUGGCCUGUAACUGACACUGAGGCGCGAAAGCGUGGGGAGCAAACAGGAUUAGAUACCCUGGUAGUCCACGCCAUAAACGAUGAGUGCUAAGUGUUGGGGGGGGUUUCCCGCCCCUCAGUGCUGCAGCUAACGCAUUAAGCACUCCGCCUGGGGAGUACGGUCGCAAGACUG
rnacentral:rRNA from 1 species